UUAAGCUAGGCGGGAAAUUGGUGCAACGUUUGCUGCAGCUCUGUAUCAUAAAUGGUGUUCCAGUGAGAGUGAAUGUUUAAGAUCUUUCAGACACAAUGAAGCAUAGAAGUGCCACGUGGAGAAUAGACCGCAAACAUGUUCUCAAAGUGUGUUUUUGUUGCCAAAAUAGUGUCACGUCACUGUACACCUCAUAGCACAGAUGCGCCUCAGCAGUUGUAAGAAUGCUGUGUUUUGUUGAGAUACACUUCCAAUGUGAGAGGAAAUGAAAAUAGAUGGGAGGGCUGGUCAAGUGGUUAAGUUGUUGUCGGUUAGAUCCAAAGGUUUAAGAUUGGACACUGGCUGGAGUCACAUCAGCAUCUAUUUUGUAUUUGAGUCAAGAAGUGGUUUUUCCAAGAAGUGGACUCAGAAUGAUUCAGGCUAAAGUGGAACAGUUGUGAGUUACUUGUGGAGAAGAAGUAAAUAAUGACACUUGGUAGAUCUGAACAGUCUGCUGUUGCAGAAUAUAAUUUUGAACCCAUAUCAAAUAAACUCAUGUGGAGGUGGAUAUCAUAGUGUAAGAGAUUUGUUGACAAAA